rnacentral:tRNA from 1 species
GCCCGAUAGCUCAGUUGGUAGAGCAGAGGACUGAAAAUCCUCGUGUCGGCGGUUCGAUUCCGUCCCUGGGCACCA